UCUUCGAUUUGCACAUAUGGUUCACGUUCAUAGCUUCUGUUUUGAAGGAGAAAAGCGAGCUCGAAGUUGUGUCAGUUAUGCUGAAUGUGUGAAUGGAGGGAUACGGGUUUGAUGAGUUUGGAGUUGGAGUUUUGGUCAAGUUAGGAGCUCAAUUGCAGCAUGUUCAUCAUCCAAAGCUCCAUUGAUGCAAGGUGCAGUUUAGUAGCGUUUGGUCAGUAGCAGGUUUGGACUGAAGACUUGGAAGUGAUGACGGCUCGGAGACCUCGUCUAAUCUCAUCUUUCCGCUGUGCAGAUCCAUUGAAGACACAUGUUUUGUAAUUCUUCAUAGGAUUUCAUGUUGUAUUUUAUAUGGAUCUUUCUAUAACUAUGGCUUUUGUAUGUACUCAAUAUCAAUUUUAACGUUUCAUGCAUAAUAUACUAGUCAGUUAUGUA